UGGGGAAUAUUGCACAAUGGGCGCAAGCCUGAUGCAGCAACGCCGCGUGAACGAUGAAGGUCUUCGGAUCGUAAAGUUCUGUUGCAGGGGAAGAUAAUGACGGUACCCUGUGAGGAAGCCCCGGCUAACUACGUGCCAGCAGCCGCGGUAAUACGUAUGGGGCGAGCGUUGUCCGGAAUUAUUGGGCGUAAAGGGUACGUAGGUGGUUUUUUAAGUCAGGUGUCAAAGCGUGGAGCUUAACUCCAUUAAGCACUUGAAACUGAAAGACUUGAGUGAAGGAGAGGAAAGUGGAAUUCCUAGUGUAGCGGUGAAAUGCGUAGAUAUUAGGAGGAAUACCGGUGGCGAAGGCGACUUUCUGGACUUUUACUGACGCUCAGGUACGAAAGCGUGGGGAGCAAACAGG
rnacentral:rRNA from 1 species